rnacentral:lncRNA from 10 species
GCCAAACAAACAAACGAAAAUUCUAGCUUUGGUAAUCCUCGAAGGUCCCCUUUGCAUUCCUACAAACCUCCCUCCCCAUCUGCAGAAACUUCUACAUACUGAAGAAUAGCUCCAAACCAGAAGCUAAUGUGUGAGUCCCGAUAAGUUCAAUGAAAGAGAAAGAGAUGAGUAGGUCAAAGAGGCAAAGGAGUCACAGAACUGCAGUUGAUCAAGGUUGCCAAGCAACUAAUACGGUCAAAAUUUUAUUUUUUAUGCUUUAGGAAGUAUAAAUUUUUGGAGGAGGCAUUUGAUUUGGAUUGCUAUCCAACAACCCUGUGAAUUUAGAGGGGAAAUUAUGAUAGAGAAGUGAAUAUCUGAGGAUGGUCUAAAUUUCCAGCAUUAGAAUCAAUUCCUUACCAGCAUACCUUUUUCAAUUCCCUUCCAUUAUCAACGUGGGGAGCUGCCCCGGGUGGAUUGGGCUUUUAAAGUUAAUUUCAAUGGCAAGUGAUAGACAACGAUUUUCCCAAGAAGGCAAAGAUUCCAAGAAUAUCAAGCUGUUUAUGUACUUCACAUUUAGAUAGCAAGAAACUUCAGGCUUUUAGGCCUUUACUGUUUUACUCAUUUAUUUUCUACUAACUACUGUUGAACUUCUCCCAUCAUGUGAAAACAGCAGUAAGGAAAGCAACAGUUUGGGAUUAUAGC